rnacentral:misc_RNA from 1 species
UUGAACCUAGGCUUCCAGAAUGGAAGGAAGAAGCCAUUAAAGACCUUGGAGUGGGAAUUGAGAAUAAGAUUGCAUUGCACUUUGACAAGGUAUUCUGGCCAAACGUAGAGUUCUUGGGAGUGGUUGCAGAGACAUCUUAUGGCUGCAGCUACUUCCUAAAUCUACACAAAGCUACUGGGUCAUUCUGUUCUUGUUUAUAUGCCUGCUGGACAGCU